UUACGGCGAUAUCACGUUGAAACACGGGUUCCCGUACGAUCGUCGAAGUUAAGCAACGUUGAGCCUGGUCAAUACCUAGAUGGAUGAUCGUUUGGGAAUACCAGGUGCUGCAAUC